rnacentral:rRNA from 1 species
CAGUCGCCACGGUAAUACGAGGGGGGCAAGCGUUGUUCGGAAUUAUUGGGCGUAGAGGGCACGUAGGCGGUUUGGCAAGUUUGGUGUGAAAUCUUCGGGCUCAACUCGAAGUCUGCAUCGAAAACUGCCGGGCUUGAGUAUGGGAGAGGUGAGUGGAAUUUCCGGUGUAGCGGUGAAAUGCGUAGAUAUCGGAAGGAACACCUGUGGCGAAAGCGGCUCACUGGACCAUAACUGACGCUGAGGCGCGAAAGCUAGGUGAGCAAACAGGAUUAGAGACCCCGGUAGUCCCUGUCUCUUAUAC